UACGAAGGGGGGCUAGCGUUGCUCGGAAUCACUGGGCGUAAAGCGCACGUAGGCGGCUUUUUAAGUCAGGGGUGAAAUCCUGGAGCUCAACUCCAGAACUGCCUUUGAUACUGGUGAUCUUGAGUCCGGGAGAGGGAUGUGGAAUUCCAGGUGUAGCGGUGAAAUGCGUAGAUAUCUGGAGGAACACCGGUGGCGAAGGCGGCAUCCUGGACCGGUAUUGACGCUGAGGCGCGAAAGCCAGGGGAGCAAACGGG
rnacentral:rRNA from 1 species